rnacentral:rRNA from 1 species
AGAAUCAACGCUGGCGGCGUGCCUAACACAUGCAAGUCGCACGAGAAAGGGACUUCGGUCCUGAGUACAGUGGCGCACGGGUGAGUAACACGUGAAUAAUCUACCUCCGAGUGGGGAAUAACUGAGAGAAAUCUUAGCUAAUACCGCAUAACACUUACGAGUCAAAGCAGCAAUGCGCUUGGAGAGGAGUUCGCGGCAGAUUAGUUAGUUGGCGGGGUAAUGGCCCACCAAGACGAUGAUCUGUAUCCGGCCUGAGAGGGCGCACGGACACACUGGAACUGAAACACGGUCCAGACUCCUACGGGAGGCAGCAGUGGGGAAUUUUGCGCAAUGGGGGAAACCCUGACGCAGCAACGCCGCGUGGAGGAUGAAAUCCCUUGGGAUGUAAACUCCUUUCGAUCGGGAAGAUAAUGACGGUACCGAGAGAAGAAGCCCGGCUAACUCGUGCCAGCAGCCGC